UACAGAGGGGGCAAGCGUUGUUCGGAAUUACUGGGCGUAAAGGGCGCGUAGGCGGUUUGUUAAGUCGAACGUGAAAUCCCCGGGCUCAACCCGGGAACUGCGUCCGAUACUGGCAGGCUUGAAUUCGGGAGAGGGAUGCGGAAUUCCAGGUGUAGCGGUGAAAUGCGUAGAUAUCUGGAGGAACACCGGUGGCGAAGGCGGCAUCCUGGACCGAGAUUGACGCUGAGGCGCGAAAGCCAGGGGAGCAAACGGG
rnacentral:rRNA from 1 species